GUUUUUUCAAAAACAUAGCUUUAGGAUACAGAUCUAAAGUUAAACCUGCCCAGUGUACAUUAUCAAAAAUUAUAAAUGGCCGCGGUACUUUGACCGUGCUAAGGUAGCGCAAUCAAUUGGCUUUUAAAUGGAGUCAGGUAUGAAUGGGAUCACGGAGUUUAGCUGUCUCUAAACUAAUUUAUUGAAAUUACUUUGCAGGUGAAAAAGCCUCCAAAUUGAAAAAAGACGAGAAGACCCUUAGAGUUUUAUUUAAAGUAAAAGAAUUUUUUAUAAUAAUUUAGUUGGGGCAACAAAGGAACAUUUGAUUAAAUUUCCUUAAUUUUAUUUAUCGAUUUUUAUAAAUUUACAUAAACUACCUUAGGGAUAACAGCAUAAUUUAGUUAAUAAGUUUGUGACCUCGAUGUUGGACUAGGAAACUUGAAGGCUAGCCGCUUUCUAGCAAGGUUCUGUUCGAACUGUUUGAUCCUACGUG
rnacentral:rRNA from 1 species